GACGAACGCUGGCGGCGUGCUUAACACAUGCAAGUCGAACGGAAAGGCCCCAGCUUGCUGGAGUACUCGAGUGGCGAACGGGUGAGUAACACGUGGGUAAUCUGCCCUGCACUCUGGGAUAAGCCUGGGAAACUGGGUCUAAUACUGGAUAUGACCUUUCUCCUUAUGGUGUUUGGUGGAAAGUUUUUCGGUGUAGGAUGAGCCCGCGGCCUAUCAGCUUGUUGGUGGGGUGAUGGCCUACCAAGGCGACGACGGGUAGCCGGCCUGAGAGGGUGAUCGGCCACAUUGGGACUGAGAUACGGCCCAGACUCCUACGGGAGGCAGCAGUGGGGAAUAUUGCACAAUGGGCGGAAGCCUGAUGCAGCGACGCCGCGUGAGGGAUGACGGCCUUCGGGUUGUAAACCUCUUUCAGCAGGGACGAAGCGUAAGUGACGGUACCUGCAGAAGAAGCACCGGCUAACUACGUG
rnacentral:rRNA from 1 species